AACGAACGCUGGCGGCAUGCCUAACACAUGCAAGUCGAACGAGACCUUCGGGUCUAGUGGCGCACGGGUGCGUAACGCGUGGGAACCUGCCCUUAGGUUCGGAAUAACUCCCCGAAAGGGGUGCUAAUACCGGAUAAUGUCUUCGGACCAAAGAUUUAUCGCCUUUGGAUGGGCCCGCGUUGGAUUAGCUAGUUGGUAGGGUAAAAGCCUACCAAGGCGACGAUCCAUAGCUGGUCUGAGAGGAUGAUCAGCCACACUGGGACUGAGACACGGCCCAGACUCCUACGGGAGGCAGCAGUGGGGAAUAUUGGCCAAUGGGCGAAGGCCUGAUGCAGCAAUGCCGCGUGAGUGAUGAAGGCCUUAGGGUUGUAAAGCUCUUUUACCCGGGAUGAUAAUGACAGUACCGGGAGAAUAAGCUCCGGCUAACUCCGUG
rnacentral:rRNA from 1 species